rnacentral:rRNA from 1 species
AGAACGAACGCUGGCGGCAGGCUUAACACAUGCAAGUCGAGCGCCCCGCAAGGGGAGCGGCAGACGGGUGAGUAACGCGUGGGAACAUACCCUCCGGUUCGGAAUAGCUCAGGGAAACUUGGAUUAAUACCGGAUACGGCCUAGCGGCGAAAGAUUCAUCGCCGGAGGAUUGGCCCGCGUUCGAUUAGCUAGUUGGUGAGGUAACGGCUCACCAAGGCGACGAUCGAUAGCUGGUCUGAGAGGAUGAUCAGCCACAUUGGGACUGAGACACGGCCCAAACUCCUACGGGAGGCAGCAGUGGGGAAUAUUGGACAAUGGGCGCAAGCCUGAUCCAGCCAUGCCGCGUGAGUGAUGACGGCCUUAGGGUUGUAAAGCUCUUUCGCUAGGGACGAUAAUGACGGUACCUAGACAAGAACGCCCCGGCUAACUUCGCGCCAGCAGCCGC